rnacentral:rRNA from 1 species
CAGAGGGUGCAAGCGUUGCUCGGAAUCAUUGGGCGUAAAGGGUAGGUAGGUGGUCUCAUUUGUCUGGGGUGAAAGCCUUGAGCUUAACUCGAGAAGUGCCCCGGAAACGGUGAGACUGGAGUCUUGGAGAGGCUAGCGGAAUUCCCGGUGUAGCGGUGAAAUGCGUAGAGAUCGGGAGGAACACCAGAGGCGAAGGCGGCUAGCUGGACAAGUACUGACACUCAACUACGAAAGCGUGGGGAGCAAACAGGAUUAGAUACCCUGGUAGUCCACGCCGUAAACGAUGGGUACUAGGUUUGAUGGGUCUUGACCCCCUUCGAACCGGCGCUAACGCACUAAGUACCCCGCCUGGGAAGUACGGUCGCAAGACUA